GUCGUGCCCAGAGCACCCAAAACUUGAUGAGGCUGUUCUAGUUACCAAUAAAGCGAGGAUUGUCAGCAUGAUGGGAGUGAUUGAGAAUGUUUCAACACACCAUAGAUCGUGUCCUCAGUGCCACAUGGUCUACAGAUACCAGGAGUGGACAGAUGGGCUUCACAACUUUGACAACCACGUUGUUUUGUGUCUUGAACUCUGACUUUUUUUGAGAGAAAAUCUGCAGAACCAUGUAUCCGCUUCAAGGGUCAUUGACUCAUUGGAGGGCUUAAGAAGAGUGAAGUUUCCUUCUAGGGAUACCAUUUUUCAUGCUUAUUGCCAUUUUGAGGCUUU